ensembl:lncRNA LINC02208 long intergenic non-protein coding RNA 2208
ACACAUAUGCCUUGAGUUGCUCUUCAGUGAAUAUCACUUUUCCUUUCAUGUUUUUUCUACAUGCUAUUAUCUGUAUGAAAUGAAGACCAAGAAAGGAUGGGAAGAAGGAGAAGAAAAAUUUUGAUUUAUCUCAGAAACUAUACUCCGAAGUGAGAGUCCUGGUUGCAGCAUCCUUCACCGAAGCACGAAGCAGAAUCAAGCUGUUGCCAUGAAGCUUGUUUCAAGAGCUCAGAAAUACUCCAGGGACUCCUUUACUACUGCUUUUCAAAGAGGCCUUUUUUUCUCUCUUCUCCUUUUCCUGCAAAGAGGGUUAUAUCCAGUGCUCAAGGACAUGGGAUUAUCAGCCUAAGGCAUGAGUACAUGCUGUGGAAACAGAAAUAUGUAUGAAGGGAUGUAUGAAACCACAGAAUAAAUGGAAUCCACAUUCUUGAAGUAGCUACAACUCUACUUGAGGUCCCAAGGCACGUAGAUAGUACCUAUACAUCUCAUCAGGAACAUGGAUGGUUCUCUGCUAUCAGCUGAAGUGCUGUGACCACAAAACUGAAAAUUCCCAUUCUGUGUCCUUGCCAAUAAAGAAUGUCCAUCAGAGCACGCCCAGUAUCCUAGCUCCUUAUCCAGACUGUGCUUCUCAAUGUGACAAGGAAGACUGCAACCCUAUUUGCUUCUGAUAACCUUCCUAUGACUAAGGUAGGAAGAUGAAAGGAAACGACACAGCACUUGAGUAUUUUUUUCCCCUAAAGCUUUGCUAAUUGUGGAUCAACCCUGGCUACAAAUCAGUAAUCUCCUUUCAUGGUGAUAUUGUCAUUGCAGCAGUUUCUAUGCUCACACCAACAUUCUUCAGAAUCCAGGGCAGAGUAGAGCACAAGUGUCUGGGGAUUCCUCGCGAAAGUCCUGGGGUUCACUGUGUUUGACUGACCUGGGUCACAUGCUUAACAGCUACACCUCUUAGAGGAGCCACGUCUCCCGAUGCAUCUGGAUUCCAAAUGGAAAUUAGCAGGUUUGAAAAGGAAAAAGAGAUGUCCCCAGAGUGUCCAGAGCGGAAGGUGAGGGAAUAUCAGGCAGAGGGAAUUAUUUUAGAAAAGUAUCAGGGCAAGAUUAGAAUUUUGGUUUUGUUUAUUUUUCUCUUUGGUGCCUAUAAUAAUAAUUGACAGAUAGUGCUCAAUAUAUUUUUAUUAAGCAAAUGAAUGAAUGAAAGAAAAUGAAUGAAUGAAACCGUAUUUCAGUUUGGCUGCAGCAAACGAUGUACAUAAAGGAAAAUGUAAAGUAGUCAGUGUAUUGAAAGCAGGCACACAGAAACCAACUUUAAUAAACUGCAUAAGGCAAUGAUCAUGUUUAACUAUUCUUGAUGCAGUUUCGAUACUGACCAGCUAUUAGCCAGCUGCUCCUCAAUGCCAUGCUUGCUCCUGGAUGACUUUUUCUACUGCUGUAGCAGUGAAUGUGAGAAUAGGCACAUCACUUUUGACCACAGCCUAAGCCAGCUAUAAAUAGGAAUGUGUACGCCUUCUGUAAAAAUAGUCAUACACUGCAUUCCAAAACAAAACAAAAAAUGAAA